CCCUGUCUUUUUUCAUCCCUCCUCCCAAAGUGUUUUCUUCUGCUUUUGCACGAUGUGUAUUUGGUUAUCCUUAAACUUCCACGGGUGGGAACAAAGCGAUCAGUGUUUGCAGGAUAAGAAAAGAGUUUGCCUUCGGGCGAAAAGGAGAACUGAAGCUGCUGCUACACCGCGCUGAUGGGCGCUGGAGACCGGGUUUCCAUGGCGACUCCUGGGUUGGAACGCAAGCCGUGUUGUCUCUAUGACAACGCCCGGAAGUACGUCAUUGGGAUAGGAUUCGAAUCAGGUGCGGCCAGGCGCGGCGUGCGGCGCUGAUUCAUGGGGUAUUUCAUAGGAAUCCCUUUGGGCCCUCAAUGCUCCUUAAUUUAAGUAAUUUUAUAUAUCGAUGACUGGAUCAUCUUUUAAUAAAGGACUAUGGACAUUUUUAACUAUGGACGGAGGCUCUGUUUACAGUGACCAUGGUAACUGACACCGAGGGCCGGAGCAGGUUGAAGACGCGCUCCCGACUUGUACAAAUCCGUGCGCCGGGUUACUAUGGAGACCAGGGCAAGGACGGUGUCAUCGGAAGCUGCGUCCUGAUGCGUCCGGUAACCAUGGCGACAACCCUGCAGUUCAACGGGCGGAAGUGACGAACAUGGACUUCCGGUUACCAUGGAAACCGGACGAUACGCGGAAACAGCAAGAAAGAUAGUGCCGCCCAAAAGGACGUUUGUAAUUGGUCAAAGGAUAGUUUAAAUAUGGGGAUUGUGACUGUGGGAUGGUAUACAGCCUUGAGAAAGACUCCAGGAAGGAGGAGUUGAAACGCGUUGGCGAGCUUAUCUGUGGUCAGUGUCCGGAGGGUGCCCUGCAGUUUCAAGUGCCAGUGAUUUUUCCAGCUUCCAGCCCGGGCGGUUUCUGGGAUUUAAAGAACUUGUCUGAGAACUUUUUGUGGGUUCUCAGACGCUCUGGUAAUUGUUCCGCAUUUUCCCCUCUGCAAACUGAUACAUCUAUACCAUCUCUUAAACAGUUUUGUUUUGUUUAUGUGUGUAUGUAAUA